AUUCACGCUGGCGGCGUGCCUAAUACAUGCCAGUCGAGCGAACGGACGAGAAGCUUGCUUUUCUGAUGUUAGCGGCGGACGGGUGAGUAACACGUGGAUAACCUACCUAUAAGACUGGGAUAACUUCGGGAAACCGGAGCUAAUACCGGAUAAUAUUUUGAACCGCAUGGUUCAAAAGUGAAAGACGGUCUUGCUGUCACUUAUAGAUGGAUCCGCGCUGCAUUAGCUAGUUGGUAAGGUAACGGCUUACCAAGGCAACGAUGCAUAGCCGACCUGAGAGGGUGAUCGGCCACACUGGAACUGAGACACGGUCCAGACUCCUACGGGAGGCAGCAGUAGGGAAUCUUCCGCAAUGGGCGAAAGCCUGACGGAGCAACGCCGCGUGAGUGAUGAAGGUCUUCGGAUCGUAAAACUCUGUUAUUAGGGAAGAACAUAUGUGUAAGUAACUGUGCACAUCUUGACGGUACCUAAUCAGAAAGCCACGGCUAACUACGUG
rnacentral:rRNA from 1 species